GGACGAAAGAACAGUUCAAAUGAGUAAUUUUCCAAAAUCCGAGCUCAUUUCAAGCGCAUCCCAUUUAUCUUUUGGGUAUUUAUUAAUGAAGAAACAGCUUUUAUAUGCGUUCAAAGUCUCAUACGUCAAUUAAUCGAUUACCCGAUUGUGAGGUUAUGAAAAAUCUGAAAAGAACUCAGCCGAUUUAAUUCGUAAUAAUUUUUGCUCUCACGGCAUUGCCAUUUUCCAACUCGCCUCCGGUCGAUUAAAAAUAGAUAAAAUAUUCGAGGAAACACUGAAUCGCUUCCUUAUCCGGCACCCGAGGGCCGAAGAUGGCAGCUUGUUUUUGCACGAUCUCAGUAUUUUUGCCAAGAAUGUAAGUUGCUCAAUCCUCGCACCUAUGGAAUGCUCUUGGUUCCUUCUGGAAAAAUGCAAUCCAUUUGUCCCUCAAACAAUGACUACAGAAUGCUUGAAUUCAUACCUUGUCUGGUGGUUUUAUUCAGAAAAAGACUUCGUAAUUUCCUAUGCUGCAGUCCCCAGACACGUUCUUACGUCGCUUUGAUCUUGCCAGUGUUUUCUUUCGAAUGUUACAAGUAGACGGAAGAAAACGCGAUGAUUGCAGCGCGUCGUCCGUCGGUGACUCGUUGUUUUCGAGGCUGUGCUUUCGUCGAAUGUUUUCCUCUUGCGCCCCGAACGGCCCUUAAUUGGGCCAAAAUCGGCGUCAAGGCAGGGUAAUUGUGUUGGCGGAGCAAUUUGCAGCGCGCGUCCGUGUUUGUCUUUGCAAUUUUCGUCGAAUCCAUUGACGCAAAGAAAGUUCGACCGAGGGGUAUUUAAAGUGGUGGAAAAGUCGGAGGGAAGCAAAGUUCAGUCCUCGGCUUCGUUUGCCGGAACCCGACCGUCCUUCCCUUCCCGAUUCGAACAUGCAGCUCUUCAACCUCCUUCGCAUCCUCGUAGCUCUUCUGGGCGUUCUCAGUAUGUCGACGGCUCAUCCCUGCGGAGGUGGAGGCGGCGGCGGCAGCGCUCUUCCGUCCCUUCCAUCCCUGCCGAACGUCAACGCCGUCCUUCCCAGUCUGCCAGCCGUAGACGUGGCUCUACCCAACGUGGACGUGGGUCUGCCCAAUUUGAACGUCCUCAACAACGUCCUCUAACCGGAACGCUUUUCUCCGAUCGGCUGAAGACUCCCACACGCUUAACCAAACCGGCCGGAUUUCUCCUACGUCUUUUCGAUACUCCUACUGUUAAAUUUUUACACUCUUUACAAUACAUGUCUGAUGACUGAUUACGUAGUUGUUUAAUGGUUGUGUCAAUAGCGAUUCCUGCCCAUGAAAUUUAGUGAAGCUGAAUUGGCGCGAUGGGGUGGGGGAGCAGUGU
rnacentral:lncRNA from 1 species